ACGAACGCUGGCGGCGUGCCUAAUACAUGCAAGUAGCACGCUGAAGAGAGGAGCUUGCUCUUCUUGGAUGAGUUGCGAACGGGUGAGUAACGCGUAGGUAACCUGCCUGGUAGCGGGGGAUAACUAUUGGAAACGAUAGCUAAUACCGCAUAAAAUGGAUUAUCGCAUGAUAAUCCAUUGAAAGGUGCAAAUGCAUCACUACCUGAUGGACCUGCGUUGUAUUAGCUAGUUGGUGGGGUAACGGCUCACCAAGGCGACGAUACAUAGCCGACCUGAGAGGGUGAUCGGCCACACUGGGACGGAGACACGGCCCAGACUCCUACGGGAGGCAGCAGUAGGGAAUCUUCGGCAAUGGACGGAAGUCUGACCGAGCAACGCCGCGUGAGUGAAGAAGGUUUUCGGAUCGUAAAGCUCUGUUGUAAGAGAAGAACGAGUGUGAGAGUGGAAAGUUCACACUGUGACGGUAUCUUACCAGAAAGGGACGGCUAACUACGUG
rnacentral:rRNA from 1 species